rnacentral:rRNA from 1 species
GAUGAACGCUGGCGGCGUGCUUAACACAUGCAAGUCGAACGAUGAAGCCCAGCUUGCUGGGUGGAUUAGUGGCGAACGGGUGAGUAACACGUGAGUAACCUGCCCUUAACUCUGGGAUAAGCCUGGGAAACUGGGACUAAUACCGGAUAGGAGCGUCCACCGCAUGGUGGGUGCUGGAAAGAUUUAUCGGUUUUGGAUGGACUCGCGGCCUAUCAGCUUGUUGGUGAGGUAAUGGCUCACCAAGGCGACGACGGGUAGCCGGCCUGAGAGGGUGACCGGCCACACUGGGACUGAGGCACGGCCCAGACUCCAACAGGGGGCAGCAGUGGGGAAUAUUGCACAAUGGGCGCAAGCCUGAUGCAACGACGCCGCGUUUGGGAUGACGGCCUGCUGGUUGUAAACCUCUUUCAGUAGGGAAGAAGCGAAAGUGACGGUACCUGCAGAAGAAGCACCGGCUAACUACGUG